rnacentral:tRNA from 1 species
GCUUUCGUGGUGUAGUGGUCAGCACGCUCGUCUCGUAUUUGAGAGGUCCGUGGUUCGAGUCCCGCCGAGGGCA